rnacentral:rRNA from 1 species
UGAACGCUGGCGGCAUGCUUUACACAUGCAAGUCGAACGGUAACAGGCCUUCGGGUGCUGACGAGUGGCGAACGGGUGAGUAAUGCAUCGGAACGUACCCAGAGGUUGGGGAUAACGCAGCGAAAGCUGUGCUAAUACCGCAUGUGAUCUGAGGAUGAAAGCGGGGGACCGAGCAGCAAUGUUUGGCCUCGCGCCUUUGGAGCGGCCGAUGUCGGAUUAGCUAGUUGGUGGGGUAAAGGCCUACCAAGGCGACGAUCCGUAGCUGGUCUGAGAGGACGACCAGCCACACUGGGACUGAGACACGGCCCAGACUCCUACGGGAGGCAGCAGUGGGGAAUUUUGGACAAUGGGCGCAAGCCUGAUCCAGCAAGGCCGCGUGCGGGAAGAAGGCCUUCGGGUUGUAAACCGCUUUUGGCAGGAACGAAACGGUGUCCGCUAAUACCGGGCGCUAAUGACGGUACCUGCAGAAUAAGCACCGGCUAACUACGUG